UACGGGGGGAGCAAGCGUUGUUCGGAUUUACUGGGCGUAAAGGGCGCGUAGGCGGUCAGCACAAGUCAGUUGUGAAAUCUCCGGGCUUAACUCGGAAAGGUCAGCCGAUACUGCGGGGCUAGAGUGCAGAAGGGGCAACUGGAAUUCUCGGUGUAGCGGUGAAAUGCGUAGAUAUCGAGAGGAACACCUGCGGCGAAGGCGGGUUGCUGGGCUGACACUGACGCUGAUUGUGCGAAAGCUAGGGGAGCGAACGGG
rnacentral:rRNA from 1 species